rnacentral:rRNA from 1 species
GUGGGGAAUAUUACACAAUGGGCGCAAGCCUGAUGUAGCAACGCCGCGUGAGCGAAGAAGGUCUUCGGAUCGUAAAGCUCUGUCCUUGGGGACGAAGGAAGUGACGGUACCCAAGGAGGAAGCCCCGGCUAACUACGUGCCAGCAGCCGCGGUAAUACGUAGGGGGCGAGCGUUAUCCGGAAUUAUUGGGCGUAAAGAGUACGUAGGUGGUUUUGUAAGCGUGAGGUGAAAGCCCGGGGCUUAACUCCGGCGAGCCUCACGAACUGCAAGACUUGAGUGCAGGAGGGGAAAGUGGAAUUCCUAGUGUAGCGGUGAAAUGCGUAGAUAUUAGGAGGAACACCGGUGGCGAAGGCGACUUUCUGGACUGUAACUGACACUGAGGUACGAAAGCGUGGGGAGCAAACAGGAUUAGAAACCCUAGUAGUCC